rnacentral:tRNA from 1 species
UCCCUGGUGGUCCAGUGGCUAAGACUCUGCGCUCCCACUGCAGAGGGCCCAGGUUGAAUCCCUGGCAGGGGAU